rnacentral:rRNA from 1 species
UAUGUUGGCCGGGCGACGGUUGUCCCGGUUUAAGCGUGUAGGCUGGUUUUCCAGGCAAAUCCGGAAAAUCAAGGCUGAGGCGUGAUGACGAGGCACUACGGUGCUGAAGCAACAAAUGCCCUGCUUCCAGGAAAAGCCUCUAAGCAUCAGGUAACAUCAAAUCGUACCCCAAACCGACACAGGUGGUCAGGUAGAGAAUACCAAGGCGCUUGAGAGAACUCGGGUGAAGGAACUAGGCAAAAUGGUGCCGUAACUUCGGGAGAAGGCACGCUGAUAUGUAGGUGAAGUCCCUCGCGGAUGGAGCUGAAAUCAGUCGAAGAUACCAGCUGGCUGCAACUGUUUAUUAAAAACACAGCACUGUGCAAACACGAAAGUGGACGUAUACGGUGUGACGCCUGCCCGGUGCCGGAAGGUUAAUUGAUGGGGUUAGCGCAAGCGAAGCUCUUGAUCGAAGCCCCGGUAAACGGCGGCCGUAACUAUAACGGUCCUAAGGUAGCGAAAUUCCUUGUCGGGUAAGUUCCGACCUGCACGAAUGGCGUAAUGAUGGCCAGGCUGUCUCCACCCGAGACUCAGUGAAAUUGAACUCGCUGUGAAGAUGCAGUGUACCCGCGGCAAGACGGAAAGACCCCGUGAACCUUUACUAUAGCUUGACACUGAACAUUGAGCCUUGAUGUGUAGGAUAGGUGGGAGGCUUUGAAGUGUGGACGCCAGUCUGCAUGGAGCCGACCUUGAAAUACCACCCUUUAAUGUUUGAUGUUCUAACGUGGACCCGUGAUCCGGGUUGCGGACAGUGUCUGGUGGGUAGUUUGACUGGGGCGGUCUCCUCCUAAAGAGUAACGGAGGAGCACGAAGGUUGGCUAAUCCUGGUCGGACAUCAGGAGGUUAGUGCAAUGGCAUAAGCCAGCUUGACUGCGAGCGUGACGGCGCGAGCAGGUGCGAAAGCAGGUCAUAGUGAUCCGGUGGUUCUGAAUGGAAGGGCCAUCGCUCAACGGAUAAAAGGUACUCCGGGGAUAACAGGCUGAUACCGCCCAAGAGUUCAUAUCGACGGCGGUGUUUGGCACCUCGAUGUCGGCUCAUCACAUCCUGGGGCUGAAGUAGGUCCCAAGGGUAUGGCUGUUCGCCAUUUAAAGUGGUACGCGAGCUGGGUUUAGAACGUCGUGAGACAGUUCGGUCCCUAUCUGCCGUGGGCGCUGGAGAACUGAGGGGGGCUGCUCCUAGUACGAGAGGACCGGAGUGGACGCAUCACUGGUGUUCGGGUUGUCAUGCCAAUGGCACUGCCCGGUAGCUAAAUGCGGAAGAGAUAAGUGCUGAAAGCAUCUAA